GCAUAUCAAUAAGCGGAGGAAAAGAAACCAACAGGGAUUGCCUUAGUAACGGCGAGUGAAGCGGCAACAGCUCAAAUUUGAAAGCUGGCUCCUUCGGAGUCCGCAUUGUAAUUUGUAGAGGAUGAUUCGGCGAGGGCUCCCGCCUAAGUCCACUGGAACGUGGCGUCAUAGAGGGUGAGAAUCCCGUAUGCGGUGGGUUGCCUUAGCCAUGUGAAUCUCCUUCGACGAGUCGAGUUGUUUGGGAAUGCAGCUCUAAAUGGGAGGUAAAUUUCUUCUAAAGCUAAAUACCGGCCAGAGACCGAUAGCGCACAAGUAGAGUGAUCGAAAGAUGAAAAGCACUUUGGAAAGAGAGUUAAAAAGUACGUGAAAUUGUUGAAAGGGAAGGGCUUGCAACCAGACUUGUCCGCAGUUGCUCAGCCGGUCUCCUGACCGGCGUACUCUUCUGCGGCCAGGCCAGCAUCAGUUCGGGCGGUCGGAUAAAGACCUAGGGAAUGUAGCUCCUCUCGGGGAGUGUUAUAGCCCUGGGUGGAAUGCGGCCAGCCUGGACUGAGGAUCUCGCUUCGGCUAGGAUGCUGGCGUAAUGGUUGUAAGCCGCCCGUCUUGAAACACGGACCAAGGAGUCUAACAUCUAUGCGAGUGUUUGGGUGUCAAACCCAUACGCGUAAUGAAAGUGAACGGAGGUGGGAACCCGCAAGGGCGCACCAUCGGCCGAUCCUGAUGUCUUCGGAUGGAUUUGAGCAAGAGCAUAGCUGUUGGGACCCGAAAGAUGGUGAACUAUGCCUGAAUAGGGUGAAGCCAGAGGAAACUCUGGUGGAGGCUCGCAGCGGUUCUGACGUGCAAAUCGAUCGUC
rnacentral:rRNA from 1 species